rnacentral:piRNA from 1 species
UGCACAUCAGACUUGAUGAACAAGGGUUC